CCUACGGGUGGCUGCAGUGGGGAAUAUUGGGCAAUGGGCGCAAGCCUGACCCAGCAACGCCGCGUGAAGGAAGAAGGCUUUCGGGUUGUAAACUUCUUUUGACAGGGAAGAGCAGAAGACGGUACCUGUCGAAUAAGCCACGGCUAACUACGUGCCAGCAGCCGCGGUAAUACGUAGGUGGCAAGCGUUGUCCGGAUUUACUGGGUGUAAAGGGCGUGUAGCCGGGCUGACAAGUCAGAUGUGAAAUCCGGGGGCUCAACCCCCGAACUGCAUUUGAAACUGUUGGUCUUGAGUAUCGGAGAGGCAGGCGGAAUUCCUAGUGUAGCGGUGAAAUGCGUAGAUAUUAGGAGGAACACCAGUGGCGAAGGCGGCCUGCUGGACGACAACUGACGGUGAGGCGCGAAAGCGUGGGGAGCAAACAGGAUUAGAUACCCUAGUAGUCCAUGACGUA
rnacentral:rRNA from 1 species